UUCCGGUUGAUCCCGCCGGACCUGACUGCUAUCGGAUUGAUACUAAGCCAUGCGAGUCUUUGUAGUAAUACAAGGCAGACGGCUCAGUAACACGUAGUCAACCUACCCUAUGGACAAGAAUAAUCUCGGGAAACUGGGCAUAAUUCUUGAUAGAUCAUAAUGCCUGGAAUGGUUUAUGGUUAAAAUGAUUCGUCGCCAUAGGAUGGGACUGCGGCCUAUCAGCUUGUUGGUGAGGUAAUGGCCCACCAAGGCGAUUACAGGUACGGGCUCUGAGAGGAGAAGCCCGGAGAUGGGUACUGAGACACGGACCCAGGCCCUAUGGGGCGCAGCAGGCGAGAAAACUUUGCAAUGUGCGAAAGCACGACAAGGUUAAUCCGAGUGAUUUCUGCUAAAGAAAUCUUUUGCCAGUCAUAAAACCACUGGUGAAUAAGGGGUGGGCAAGUUCUGGUGUCAGCCGCCGCGGUAAAACCAGCACCUCAAGUGGUCAGGAUGAUUAUUGGGCCUAAAGCAUCCGUAGCCGGCUUUGUAAGUUUUCGGUUAAAUCCAUGUGCUCAACGCAUGGGCUGCCGAAAAUACUGCAUAGCUAGGGAGUGGGAGAGGUAGACGGUACUCAGUAGGAAGGGGUAAAAUCCUUUGAUCUAUUGAUGACCACCUGUGGCGAAGGCGGUCUACCAGAACACGUUCGACGGUGAGGGAUGAAAGCUGGGGGAGCAAACCGGAUUAGAUACCCGGGUAGUCCCAGCUGUAAACGAUGCAGACUCGAUGAUGCAUUGGCAUAAUAGCCAGUGCAGUGUCGCAGGGAAGCCGUUAAGUCUGCCGCCUGGGAAGUACGUACGCAAGUAUGAAACUUAAAGGAAUUGGCGGGGGAGCACCACAAGGGGUGAAGCCUGCGGUUCAAUUGGAUUCAACGCCGG
rnacentral:rRNA from 1 species